GCAGGACGGUGGCCAUGGAGGUCGGAAUCUGCUAAGGUGUGUGUAACAACUAACCUGC
rnacentral:ncRNA from 1 species